GACGAACGCUGGCGGCGUGCCUAAUACAUGCAAGUCGAGCGAGUCUGCCUUGAAGAUCGGAGUGCUUGCACUCUGUGAAACAAGAUACAGGCUAGCGGCGGACGGGUGAGCAACACGUGGGUAACCUGCCCAAGAGAUCGGGAUAACACCUGGAAACAGAUGCUAAUACCGGAUCACAACAGAUGAUGCCUAUCAACUGUUUAAAAGAUGGUUCUGCUAUCACUCUUGGAUGGACCUGCGGUGCAUUAGCUAGUUGGUAGGGUAACGGCCUACCAAGGCGAUGAUGCAUAGCCGAGUUGAGAGACUGAUCGGCCACAUUGGGACUGAGACACGGCCCAAACUCCUACGGGAGGCAGCAGUAGGGAAUCUUCCACAAUGGACGCAAGUCUGAUGGAGCAACGCCGCGUGAGUGAAGAAGGGUUUCGGCUCGUAAAGCUCUGUUGUUGGUGAAGAAGGACAGGGGUAGUAACUGACCUUUGUUUGACGGUAAUCAAUUAGAAAGUCACGGCUAACUACGUG
rnacentral:rRNA from 1 species